GAUGAACGCUAGCGGGAGGCCUAACACAUGCAAGCCGAGCGGUAGAGUCUCUUCGGAGACUUGAGAGCGGCGCACGGGUGCGGAACACGUGUGCAACCUGCCUCUAUCUGGGGGAUAGCCUUUCGAAAGGAAGAUUAAUACCCCAUAAUAUACUGGAUGGCAUCAUCUGGUAUUGAAAACUCCGGUGGAUAGAGAUGGGCACGCGCAAGAUUAGAUAGUUGGUGAGGUAACGGCUCACCAAGUCAGCGAUCUUUAGGGGGCCUGAGAGGGAGAUCCCCCACACUGGUACUGAGACACGGACCAGACUCCUACGGGAGGCAGCAGUGAGGAAUAUUGAACGAUGGGUGAGAGCCUGAUCCAGCCAUCCCGCGUGAAGGACGACGGCCCUAUGGGUUGUAAACUUCUUUUGUAUAGGGAGAAACCUAGAUACGUGUAUCUAGCUGAAGGUACUAUACGAAUAAGCACCGGCUAACUCCGUG
rnacentral:rRNA from 1 species